rnacentral:lncRNA from 1 species
UUAUGGACAAAGUCUAAUCAUGUGGAUUCGUCUUUAAAGUCUUCUACAUAGUCUUCUAUAUUUGGUUCAUAGACUUCUUCAACAUAUUCGCCCUCUUGGUUCCUAACUUUUGGUUCAAUAAUUAGGUAGGUCUUAGUGAAACAUUAGAAUGCUAUGUGGCCAAAUUGUUGACACCUAGAGCAUUGGGUCUGGUGCCUAAGGAAAUGGGGAAGGACUACAGGUGGUGCGGCCAAACCGGAUUUAGGUUGGGCUACAACGGGGGUUGGUGGUUUAGGGGUCCUGAUGCUUCGCAUAAGCUUAGGGACCUCUUGUUUGACUUCUUCAUCUAAAGCUCGCAGGGCAGCGAACUGUUCCAUAAGAGCCCUCAAAACGUUGAAAUCCAUGGCAGCUACGGAGGUUCUAGGUUGAUUGAAAUGGUACUCCUUACCACUACGGGUUGGCAUG